AUUGAACGCUGGCGGCAUGCCUUACACAUGCAAGUCGAACGGCAGCACGGGAGCAAUCCUGGUGGCGAGUGGCGAACGGGUGAGUAAAGUAUCGGAACGUGCCCAGUCGUGGGGGAUAACGUAGCGAAAGUUACGCUAAUACCGCAUACGAUCUAUGGAUGAAAGCGGGGGAUCGCAAGACCUCGCGCGAUUGGAGCGGCCGAUAUCAGAUUAGGUAGUUGGUGGGGUAAAGGCUCACCAAGCCGACGAUCUGUAGCUGGUCUGAGAGGACGACCAGCCACACUGGGAGUGAGACACGGCCCAGACUCCUACGGGAGGCAGCAGCGGGGAAUUUUGGACAAUGGACGCAAGUCUGAUCCAGCCAUUCCGCGUGCAGGAUGAAGGCCCUCGGGUUGUAAACUGCUUUUGUACGGAACGAAAAGGUCUCUCUUAAUACGGGGGGCUCAUGACGGUACCGUAAGAAUAAGCACCGGCUAACUACGUGCCAGCCGCCGCCGUAA
rnacentral:rRNA from 1 species